AGCAAUGGCCCAAUUUCCCUAAGAGGUACCAAAUCCUGUCUCAUCUUGGAAACAAAGCAGGGUCAGGCCUGGUUAGGACUUGAAAGGGAGACUGCAAGAAAUUCCUGGUGAUAUAGUCU
rnacentral:rRNA from 1 species